rnacentral:rRNA from 1 species
AUUGAACGCUGGCGGCAGGCCUAACACAUGCAAGUCGAGCGGAGCGGCGGACGGGUGAGUAAUGCCUAGGAAUCUGCCUGGUAGUGGGGGAUAACGUCCGGAUACGGGCGCUAAUACCGCAUACUAUCAGAUGAGCCUAGGUCGGAUUAGCUAGUUGGGGGGGUAAAGGCCUACAAAGGCGACGAUCCGUAACUGGUCUGAGAGGAUGAUCAGUCACACUGGAACUGAGACACGGUCCAGCCUCCUACGGGAGGCAGCAGUGGGGAAUAUGGGACAAUGGGCGAAAGCCUGAUCCAGCCAGGCCGCGUGUGUGAAGAAGGUCUUAGGAUUGUAAAGCACUUUAAGUUGGGAGGCGUUACCAACAGAAUAAGCACCGGCUAACUGCGUGCCAGCAGCCGCGGUAAUUC